rnacentral:rRNA from 1 species
CCUACGGGUGGCUGCAGUGGGGAAUAUUGCGCAAUGGGCGAAAGCCUGACGCAGCGACGCCGCGUGAGGGAUGAAGGUCUUCGGAUCGUAAACCUCUGUCAGCAGGGAAGAACGGUCACUGUGCUAAUCAGCAGUGAAUUGACGGUACCUGCAAAGGAAGCACCGGCUAACUCCGUGCCAGCAGCCGGGGUAAUACGGAGGGUGCGAGCGUUAAUCGGAAUUACUGGGCGGAAAGCGCUCGUAGGCGGUAUGUCAAGUCAAGGGGGAAAUCCCCGCGCUCAACGUGGGAAUUGCCUUUGAAACUGGAAGACUGGAGUGUGGGAGAGGAUAGUGGAAUUACAGGAGUAGGAGUGAAAUCCGUAGAUAUCUGGAAGAACAUCAGUGGCGAAGGCGACUAUCUGGCACAUAACUGACGCUGAGGAGCGAAAGCGUGGGUAGCAAACAGGAUUAGAUACCCCUGUAGUC